rnacentral:rRNA from 1 species
UACGUAGGUGGCAAGCGUUGUCCGGAUUUAUUGGGCGUAAAGCGAGCGCAGGCGGUUCCUUAAGUCUGAUGUGAAAGCCCACGGCUCAACCGUGGAAGGUCAUUGGAAACUGGGGAACUUGAGUGCAGAAGAGGAGAGUGGAAUUCCAUGUGUAGCGGUGAAAUGCGUAGAUAUAUGGAGGAACACCAGUGGCGAAGGCGACUCUCUGGUCUGUAACUGACGCUGAGGCUCGAAAGCGUGGGGAGCAAACAGGAUUAGAUACCCGU